rnacentral:lncRNA from 1 species
AGUGGAGAGACUAGACGUGUCUAGUGAAGAGCAUUGUUGACAACCAAACUCUGAAAGCCUCCCUUUGGUGGGUAUCAUGCUCACAGAAUCUCUUUUUCCUUGCAGAGAGAAGAGAGUAGCACAUCUUAUCAAAAGGCAUUAAGGGCAGAUCUCGAAAUUGGGACACUUUUGAGGAGCCGGGACUUGACCUGGGAGGGUGGUGAGGCUUGAUCUUGGGCUAUUGGGUCUAAGACCCAGAUGGCUGACCUAGGAGACAUAUCCAGGAGCAAGACAGAAACCAAGACAAGGUGGGAGUCACCACUGAGCCAUCAAUGUGAAGGGACCAGACAGAAGAAGUAAACACAGGUGCUGGGCAACUUGGAUAAAAGCACAAACCAACAUGCCUGCCUCCUAUAGAUACCACCUGUGCGCUGACCAAAUGGCAGGUAUGCGUCUACAUUCUGGGGAUUUAGCGGGAAAGAAGACGAUAGGAGAGGAAGAGCAAUUCUAAAGGACACGGCAGCUGGAGUAUGUGCCAGGACCCAGCGCUGACCCUGCCCCAGGUCAGGUGCCCGCGCCCUCUGCUUCCCUGAGCAUUUCACACACACAUCGCAUUUGACAUCUGCAUGGACUCAAUGAGGUGAGUGUAGCUGUCAUAACUGUCUUACCACGUGGCAGUAGUUCUUCAGGGCAGUAAAGCCACUGGUCCUUGAUCAUGCAGUCGAUCCAAGUCUUGGUUCUCUGACUCCACAGACCCUUUUCACUUUGCUUUUGAACUGUGACACUGCCAUUCUCAACAGAACACAAAGGAAAUGUUUCCUGAGUGUACCUCUUUACUUUCUAAGAUUGACAUUUUGUGCCCAAGUCCUAUGUACUGCCCUGAUUACAAAUGCAAAGAAAAAGAAUAUUAAUCUAACCAGAGAUACAGGACACUCUCUGGAUCCUUUCCAGGACCAUCCAGGAAUUCCCCAAAAUGACAUUGUAAGUUGCCAAGGAAAUCCAUCAGAAGCAUUUUUAGAAAAAUGGUUACUCUGAUUUAAAACAAUCUUGUACUAUAAUACAAGUAGUUCUAUCUCUAAAAUGCCAAACCCAGACGCCCCAAGAUGAGGGAAUCCAAAUCUCCUUCCUCAUGGUGGGAAGCGAGUUUCGGGGUCAAAACAGUAUCUGCCUUUCCCAAAUGUUCAGCACCUACAACAUUAUGUCAAAAGGGGCUGUUAGGUUUGUGUGGCUACAAUAGUGCUCCCAUUUAUAAAAGACAAAGGCUGUUCUUAAGUCCAUUCCCUUUGACCUCUCCUGACACACACUGGUUAGGCUGAGCUGAAUUUAGUUUAAGAAGUGCCAGGAAAGGGCUUCUAAGCCAUUGAAAACCAUUACAGGUGUUAGUGGUUUUCUGACUAAGAGAGUCACAAACGUCCCUCACUCUUUGGAUGUGAGGCAUCCAGUCUCACACACCAUUUUGAGCCAAAAGAAAAAAAGGACAAAGAAGUGCUGCCUUGAGAAAAUAAUGAUGCCAAAUUUUUCUUCUCUAGCUUAGAAAGGUUUUUGCACUUUCCAGGGUAGAACAUUCAAAGAAGAUACUGAGUGAUAAAUACACAGGGGUUGGGUAUUACCAGAGGCUUUAAAAAUGUACCAAAAGAUUUAAAAAAAAAAGUACCAAAAGAGAAGAGUUGAGAGAAUAGAAUUUUCAGUGUCUACAACACCUUCUAGAAGAUGGAGCUCUGAUUUUACACAACC